rnacentral:rRNA from 1 species
UGGGGAAUAUUGGACAAUGGGCGCAAGCCUGAUCCAGCCAUGCCGCGUGUGUGAAGAAGGCCUUAUGGUUGUAAAGCACUUUAAGCGAGGAGGAGGCUACUUUAGUUAAUACCUAGAGAUAGUGGACGUUACUCGCAGAAUAAGCACCGGCUAACUCUGUGCCAGCAGCCGCGGUAAUACAGAGGGUGCAAGCGUUAAUCGGAUUUACUGGGCGUAAAGCGUGCGUAGGCGGCUAAUUGAGUCGGAUGUGAAAUCCCCGAGCUUAACUUGGGAAUUGCAUUCGAUACUGGUUAGCUAGAGUGUGGGAGAGGAUGGUAGAAUUCCAGGUGUAGCGGUGAAAUGCGUAGAGAUCUGGAGGAAUACCGAUGGCGAAGGCAGCCAUCUGGCCUAACACUGACGCUGAGGUACGAAAGCAUGGGGAGCAAACAGG